UAGGGAAUCUUCCACAAUGGACGCAAGUCUGAUGGAGCAACGGCCGCGUGAGUGAAGAAGGUUUUCGGACCGUAAAGCUCUGUUGUUGGUGAAGAAGGAUAGAGGUAGUAACUGGCCUUUAUUUGACGGUAAUCAACCAGAAAGUCACGGCUAACUACGUGCCAGCAGCCGCGGUAAUCGUAGGUGGCAAGCGUUGUCCGGAUUUAUUGGGCGUAAAGCGAGCGCAGGCGGAAGAAUAAGUCUGAUGUGAAAGCCCUCGGCUUAACCGAGGAAUUGCAUCGGAAACUGUUUUUCUUGAGUGCAGAAGAGGAGAGCAGAACUCCAUG
rnacentral:rRNA from 1 species